UAAUACAGAGGGUGCGAGCGUUAAUCGGAAUAACUGGGCGUAAAGGGCGCGUAGGUGGUUAUGUAAGAUCGAUGUGAAAUCCCUGGGCUUAACCUGGGAACUGCAUUGAUGACUGGAUAGCUAGAGUACUGAAGAGGGUAGUAGAAUUUCCGGUGUAGCAGUGAAAUGCGUAGAGAUCGGAAGGAAUACCAGUGGCGAAGGCGGCUACCUGGACAGAUACUGACACUGAGGCGCGAAAGCGUGGGGAGCAAACAGGAUUAGAUACCCUGGUAGUCCACGCUGUAAACGAUGAAGACUAGAUGAUGGACAGCGUGACUGUUUAGUAUCGAAGCUAACGCGAUAAGUCUUCCGCCUGGGGAGUACGGCCGCAAGGUUA
rnacentral:rRNA from 1 species